rnacentral:rRNA from 1 species
CCAAAUAGUGAUAGUACGUUGAAAUCAUCAGUUCCCGAUGGUUCACUGGAGUUAAGCAAAGUUCCGUGUAGUUGGUAUCCGGAUGGGUGACCAUCUGGGUAACCGGCCCUACUCAUGC